UAGAGAGGGAUUGACUGCAAAUCCACGGCUCGAGGGCUAAAACCUUCCAAUCCAGCCUCAGCCAGCGCCGCGCCGAUGUGAAGUCGCCCCCCACCUCCCGCUCGCAGCCGCGCACACACGCACACGCUCCCCGCGGCGAGGGGAGGGCGCCGGGGAUCGCAGCCCAGGUGCCAGCGCCUCCUCGCCCCGCCGGCCACUGCUGGGAGGCCGCGGGGCACCGACAGCCUGCUCUGGGACGGCGGGGUGGGGAACAGCCGAGGAGCGGAGCUGCCGGAUCCUCGCCCUGCGGAGCCCCGGGAUUUACAAGGAAUUGCGUGCUCCUUCCCAGACGUGAGCGAGGGUUAUACCAAAGAGCCAACCUCCGUCGCGCCCUGCUGUCCAAAUUAAUCCCUUGGACUCUUGAGAAGACAGGGGGGUUUUCGGAACCAUGGCAUCGACGGAAGGUGCCAACAAUAUGCCUAAGCAAGUAGAAGUCCGGAUGCAUGAAAGUCAUUUAAAUCCAGUGGAGCACAGAUCCGGGAACAUAUGUGUGCAGUUCUGCCAGUCACUCCACAGGAAUCUGCUCCUGACUCUUACUGUGUUUGGUGUUAUCCUGGGUGCAGUGUGUGGGGGUCUUCUUCGUCUAGCAACACCUAUUGACCCCGACAUCAUCAUGUUAAUAGCCUUCCCAGGAGAUAUACUUAUGCGGAUGCUAAAAAUGCUGAUCCUCCCUUUAAUUAUCUCCAGUUUAAUCACAGGACUGUCUGGUUUAGAUGCUAAAGCAAGUGGCCGACUGGGCACAAGAGCCAUGGUCUACUACAUGUCCACCACUAUUAUUGCUGCUGUGCUGGGUGUGAUUUUGGUUUUAGCCAUCCAUCCAGGGAAUCCGAAACUCAAGAAACAGCUUGGUCAAGGGAAGAAGAAUGAUGAAGUAUCUAGUCUGGAUGCUUUCUUGGAUUUGAUCCGAAACUUGUUCCCUGAAAAUCUAGUUCAAGCAUGCUUUCAGCAGAUCCAAACUGUCACCAAGAGAGUGCUGGUGCCACCACCCAUUGAAGAGCCACCUAACGUCACUGAUUCUGCUUUGGCUAUGGUGAAUGAGACAGCACCACCUGAAGCCCAGAUGGUCAUUAAGAAGGGACUUGAAUUUAAGGAUGGCAUGAAUGUCCUGGGUUUGAUAGGAUUCUUUAUUGCUUUUGGCAUUGCUAUGGGGAAAAUGGGAGAACAGGCCAAGAUGAUGGUGGAUUUCUUCAACAUCCUGAAUGAGAUUGUAAUGAAGUUAGUAACUAUGAUCAUGUGGUAUUCCCCUUUGGGUAUUGCUUGCCUCAUCUGUGGAAAAAUCAUUGCAAUCAAGGACUUAGAAGUAGUUGCUAGACAACUUGGCAUGUACAUGGUCACUGUGAUUGUGGGUCUUGUCAUCCAUGGAGGGAUCUUCCUGCCUCUGCUCUACUUUGUGAUAACAAGGAAAAGCCCAUUUUCAUUCCUUGCUGGGAUUUUCCAGGCAUGGAUCACAGCACUAGGCACAGCUUCCAGUGCUGGCACAUUGCCUGUCACAUUCCGGUGUCUUGAAGAAAAUCUCGGCAUUGAUAAGCGUGUAACAAGGUUUGUUCUUCCUGUUGGAGCAACUAUUAACAUGGAUGGAACUGCCCUUUAUGAAGCUGUGGCUGCCAUCUUCAUAGCACAGAUGAAUGGAAUUGACCUGGAUGGAGGCCAGAUAGUUACUGUGAGUUUGACUGCCACCCUUGCAAGUGUUGGAGCUGCCAGUAUUCCCAGCGCUGGACUUGUCACUAUGCUUCUGAUCCUUACUGCAGUGGGUCUCCCUACCCAGGAUAUCAGUUUGCUUGUUGCUGUUGACUGGCUUUUGGACCGGAUGAGAACGUCAGUCAAUGUAGUGGGGGAUUCUUUUGGUGCUGGCAUUGUCUACCACCUUUCCAAGGCAGAACUUGACACCAUUGAUUCCCAUCAUAAAGGGCACGAAGACAUUGAAAUGACCAAGACUCAGUCGAUCUAUGAUGACAUGAAAAAUCAUAGGGAAAACAACUCAAACCAAUGUGUUUUUGCAGCUCACAACUCAGUCAUGGUAGAUGAGUGCAAGGUACCUUUCACAUUUAUGGAUAUUGAGACAUGUAUAUAGCACUGCAUGCUUUAUUUUAUCUUAUUUUUUAACCUGCAUGUAUUUUUCAAAUCGUUCUGCAAAUAACAAUGUGACAACAAGGUUCAUGAACCCCAGACAUUUUGAAUGUGUUUGAGCAGAUCAAAAGAUGUUUUUUUGCACUCUUCUUAAAACUUGUCAUUUGAUGGGAAAAAAUCAUGUACAUUGUUUACAUAUCAAAAGGCAAGAUGCAGCGUAUUAUGGAAUAUGCCAAGACGCAGAGAAUAUGGCAUCACCUUCCAUGGACGUUUACUUAAUUUUCUAUGGCAACAGAGAACUUAAUUGCCAACCCAAAUGAAGGAUAGCUGAAAUUCAGAUACAGCUGCUGUCACUUGCUGACUGCCUUCCUGAUAUGCUGUUCAGAGAUCGACAUGUUGAAUGCACUUUAGCAUCAGAAGGCUCCUGCACUCAUACAGCAUGCUCAUGCUUCGCUUCGCACAUCGUUCCUUCUUGAGUCAUUAAGACACAAACAUUGUAUUCUCUCUCUAAUCCUUGCUGUAACUAAUGGAGAAUAUUAACAGUAAUAAUAACACCUUGAUCAGAGUAAAGUGAGCUUGGGAAACUCCACCAGUUGAAUGAGAAAAUGGUUGGGGAGAUUAGUGGUUAAAAGUUCACUAAGAACCCACCACUAGGAUGGGGCAGUUUAAGACGGGGAGAGAGCUUUUGAAAAGGAGGAGAAAGAGAAUGAAAACAAGAUGGAACCUUUAAUUGCGUAGUCUUUUUUUUUGUUUAUAAACACUCCAGUCUGAUGCUGUACCCUGUCUUUGAGACAGUAAAUUUGCCAAUUGGCCCACCUUAGCCACUUAUCCAAAGAGAUUCUCUUGUAUCUUCCAGUUGCCACAACUGAGCCAGUAUCUAACUGUGAAUGACUGCACUAAGUCCAUUAGCAGAUUACCAUAUAGAUCACCAAAACAUUAUUAAAACAUUAUCAAAACAUAACUCCUAUUCUAUCAUUUUCACUUGUCUCUAGCCUGGCUGGAAAUGUUCUUUAGAAUAUUUGUUUUUUCUAAUGCUUACUUCCUGAUAAUGUAGGCCAAACCUGAAUUGUCAGGGGAAAAAAUAAUACUGAAUUCAGAAAAAAACCCCAGCUUUCAUCUUCAAUUUUUCCCUGAAUCUUCCAAGGUUUCAAUAAAAUGAUUUUGUAAAAAUGAAAGCAUACAUUUUAUUUUGACAUGGCUCCCUCUUUCUCUUCUGGCCCACUCUUUUUCCAUGAGAAAAAUUAAAAAAAUAGAAACUGAAAUGGAAAGAGAAUACAUGCUUACACAAAAUCAAAAAUUGUCAAGAAUUUAUAUUUCUCAAAAAAGGGAAGGAAGGACACAAGAGAUUAAAAUUUGAAGGAAAAAAGAAAUUCUCCAGAGAGAAAGAUAAGAUUUGAUAAUUUUUUUUCAUUAAAAAUAAGCAUGGGCACAGCCUCCCUUUUUGGAUAACUUCCUUUAGAAUUUUUGGAAAAGUGUUUUUGAGUUAAAUAGACUAUACUAAUUUCAGUGGGUUUAAGACAAAUUAAGCUACCCUAUAUCAGUCUUGAAUCACGUUCAUGGAACUGAAUACUGAUAAUUUUGUCUGCUUCCAGUCUCUCAGGUUUGCACAGAGAUCCAAGUCAAGUUAGGAAGCUGUUGCAAUCAAUAUUUGCUGGACUUUCUUUUCUCCUUCAGUGUCCCUUAUCAUUUCCCUCAUUUGAGGCAGAAGCUUGCCUCAAAACAGUGGAUUAAUAGUGUAGUAUGUCAUCCUAAGCACACCCUUUAAUUAAAGUUUUGGACUGAGGAUUUAUGAGCUAGAAGUGUUCGACCUUUUUAACAGUUAAAGGUUUGCUCUGCUUGCAAUCUCAUUUUGCACUUUUAAACUCAUGAAAAGAGCCAGGCUUUUCUGGAUUGAGCACAAGACAGACUUUGAGCAGGUCACUUCUCUUGUCCACGUGUCUGUCUGCAAGCUGCCAAAAGGAUGUGUUGUUGUGACCUAAUUGAUAAGCUAUGGUGACAUCUGCAAAGUGUUUGGACCAUGUUGAAGUAUCUGUACAGCUCCUAAGUGUUAGACUAGCAAAGGCAAUAGAGUGCAGGAUUUGGGGCUUCAAAACAAGCAACAGUUAAAUCUGAAGAGACUUCUCUUCAUCCUGUCAAAUGCACUGGUGGGUUGAAAAGCAUACUGCAACUCUGAUCAGGAUUUGGAAAAGCUAAUCUACUAGCAUGUCCUUUCUAUUUACUUUCUGUAAUAUAUUCCAUGUAUAACACUAGUACUUUAUAAUUUUGCAUGGUUAAUGUACAUAAUUAAUAAUUAGUUUACCUUUAUAUGGGGGUAGAAUGGUUGUUAUUGCAUGAUAUUUUUGUAUUUUUUUUAUUACCACAUUUCUCAUGUCUCUGUGUGAUUUUCAUUUCUGAGCAAGCUGUUCAUUCCUGUAUUUGCAUGUUUCCCCCUUUCAAUGAUCUAAGAAAAAGCUUGACUUUGUUUCAAAAAUCAGUGCAUUUUGUCAUGUUUCCAUGUCCCAAUGCUUCCAUGCAUCCAGUUUAUCCAGCAUGGGGAAUUUCAGCUCUGUCUUUAAGUUUUCAUUUGAAGCUGAGGAUGUUAACUUACAAGGUAACACUGGCAACCAAUGGCAAAUCUGCAGACUUCAGUGUUGUUGAAGAAGAGCCUUGGAAACGUGAAAAAUAAGUGAAGAGAUCCCUAGCUGCGUCUUUAAUAAGCCCUGGAGCUAUCUUCUGGCAGAAGAUAUCAUGACUAAAGAAGAUUUCUCCUUUUUUUUCUCUUUUUUUUUUUUUCCUAUUUAACAUCUACAAUUUCUGCUUACUUAAUUUUGUAAAUGAAACUUAGCAAAGAUCUCAUCAAGUCAUUGUAAUGUCUUUGCCAAGCAAUGAUCCAUAACCAUCUGUCUCCCUUGUGUUACUGUUUGGAUGAUGCAGCUGGAGAAUACUCCAUGCGGUGCAAUGUGCUCUCACCCACUUUCCCUUUCAUUCAAGACACAGAGAAUGUAAAUGCUGCAAAAUGGGAAGAUCAAAGUGCCAGUACAGUUCACCACAGGGACUCAGGGUCACAAAUACAAGAGAAACAUAACACCACAUAAGCCUUCAAGUGUUUUGGUGACUCUUGUGACAUACCUGAUCUGUUUAUCACUGUAUGGCUAAAAUAUCUUUUGAAAACGUCCAUAAUGAUUUCUAUUUGUUUUAAUAACUACAAGCACUGUACUUUUGUGCCUAAUUGUACUUCAAACUGACCUUAGAUCCAGGGGCAAGAUUAAUGUACAGAAGUCAAUAAAUUAUCCCAGACAUUGUGUUCUGUACAACUGAUAGUUAGCAUGAAGAGAAGACCUUAGAUUUGUAUGUGCAUGUGGUGUGUUUUUAUCAGAUGUCCCAGGGUAGGUGCAGCCUUUAUUUUAUGAUGGUGCAGUGCUCCUUUGUGACCACAGUGCAUCAUAUAAUACAAGGCAGUAUAAUUACAGGGGUGGUAUUCACUAAAUCUGCCUGAUGUGCAAAACCACAGACUCAGUUAUGGCAUUCUUAAUCAAAGUAGGUAGUACCUUAAUGUUCACCCUGCUCCACUGCUCAGAGAGAUUCCUCAUGUGGAUGAGAUUGCUCCAGUAAGGUACUACUGAGAUUGAUCAUGGAUGUUACAAUUGGAUACUUGAGCUACAAACAAAUUCUGAAUCCAUUAUUCUUAGAGAAUUGUUGAAUGAGAUCAUCAGUAGCAUUUGCUAUGAAGUGAAAGCCAUCUUUCAAGUAUAUCAUGUUUCAGUGAAUGGCUAAAUCCUGAAUUCAUUGCUAAGCCAAAUUUCAUACAAAGUUAAUAAAAUUUUUCUGGAGUUAGGACUAAAAGAAGACUAAACCAGAAUUUCAGGAUUUAUUGAAUUUACAUCUCUGUCUCUUUUGCUGAGUAGUAAGUCAUGUAACUCCUUAAUGGCAGAGAAAUGUUUCUUAGAGAACAUGGCAUCUGAACUAAUGAGACAGUGUUUUGUGAACAGAUUAUAUCUGAUUCAUCCUGUCAGAAGAAGUUACAGUUACAAUAAUUGCCCUGUGAAGUGUUUUUAAAGGUGCUUGUUAAUAUUCAGCAAUUUUAAGAUACUGGUGAAUGCCAUUAUACUAUUAGCAAUGUUCUAUAGCAAAGCUGAGCCACAUGGCCUUGCAAGGCUCUACUCACAGAACAAGCUUUGUGCAAUUUUUGGGGGAGCUCUCGGAAGUUCUCAGAAUUAAUCAGAAUAUGAGCAUAUGGUGAACUUAAAAAUGGCAGUAAACAGAGUUGAAACAUUUAUGGAAAUAGACCAUUCAGUGUCUGUGCUCAGACCUGUCAUGGAUUUAAACAGGAAUAAUGUGUUUAACUGUAGGGUGUUAUUUGGCUCUGUAGAAGCUAUUAAAAUAUAAAUAUGGUCUGCUUUUGUUCAUCUGCAUUCAUAUAAAUAUCUCUGUAAAUGCACACAGACUUGAGCCAGCUAAGGCUACUUGCAUGGUUAAUGAUGUGCAAGAUCAAGUCCAUUGUCAGAGUAUCCCUCCUUUAAGCAUUUGUUGUGGAAUAUUUUUCUUACCGUUGUAUUUUUGUAAUCACUUGAAUUCCAUGGCUACAAUCCUAAGCAAAAUGACCUAUAUAAUUAACAAAUAUUGAACCACUGUGAAUUCUGUAGGCCUCUAACAUGUAUUAAAGGUGGAGACCUUUUCCAGAGGCCUCCUGAAGUAUCUUAAGGAUAAUUUAUUUUUGGUGAAGGAUGGAAUUGUAUGUUACUCAGAAAAGUGGCAGGAAGGUUCUCUUUUCUUCAGUCAUUGUUGUUAGCAUAUCCAGAGUUAACCUAUAUCUAGCUACUGCUUUUCCCAAUUAGCUUUCACUGGGUUAUGUGCCAGAAAUGUGCCUGGGAUGCUGUGUAGGUACUGUAAAAUGUUCCCUGCUCUGAGGGUGCUGGCUCACAUCAAGUGAAAUUUGCUGUGACUUGGGUAGCAGUUAUAUCCAAGAAAAAUACAUAGCGUUUACCCUGGUUUAUAUCCAGCAUUCUUGAGCUGUUUCAUGGCACAGCUCACCCCAUAACAGAUGAUUUUUCAUCCUCUUCACCAUAGCAGUUUCUUAGGAGCAGCCACAACGAUUGCUUGCCUUUAAAGUAGCUUUAGAAAAGUGGUCCAUAUACUUUUAGCUGUCAUUUGAAACUGUUUAGCAUUUGGAAACAAACAGGAAUGUCAUCAACAUGUGACUAGGCAGCUCCACAAAAUUACAUACUGAGAAAUGCUUAAAAUAUGCUUACAGUUAUCCACUUGGGAUGUACUGUCCUUUGAAGACUGCUUCUUUGGAUGGAGACUAGGGAAGGAAGGAAUGCAAUAAUAGAGAAACCCCACCCACAUAUGGAAGAAUAAAUUUGGGUCUUUUGAUAGGAUUAGAAUAGCAGACUGUGAUUUUAAAAUAGUAAUUCUGUAGAUAGAGUAACUCAGGGAUUUUUCAAAAGAUAAUUAUGAUGGUAUUCCUCUAUUUAAAUGUGGAUGUGGGAGAAGGAGAAAUGUUGGGUUUUUUUAUUCCUCUACUUGUAGCCUGACUGAAUAUUUAAUAUAGUGUUACUCCAGUGCAGCACUGUAUUAAAUCAUCAAAAAGCUUUCCACUUCUGUGGGAAAAUGUAACUCACUCUUGGCUUUCAUUUCUCAGUUUGCUCAAUCCACAUGAGGUUGGGUUGCUACUUAACUAAACAAACAGAAAAUAACCAGGGGACCGUCCACUUCAGUUAAUACAAAGUUCACAUUUCAGCAGGCAGUGCUGGUUACUUGCCAGCCUCCUUUUAGUUUCACUAGGAGUGUCGAUGCAUUCAUUUGAAUCUGGCAAUUUUUUUGAAUGUGUGCACAGUGCUGGGGUGGCAAAGUUAAAGGAAAAGCACAGUGGAAAGUGAUUUGUUUUCUGUGUAGUUCAAAUUAACAUUUCUUUGUACAUUCAUCUCACUUGCUGCUCUGUCAGUUCCCCCCACCUUUGUCUGUGCAACUGCAAUAACUUUUGGCCUUUGGAUUGCUGACAGCACGCUGGCACAUGGAAAAGUCUAGACCAGGCUAAGACUCAGUUAAUUGCAUACUAAAUUAAAUACAUACUUAUGUGUUUGCUUUGUUCAUUUGCUGCUGCAAGUGAGGUCGGCAUUCUCUUAGUAUCUGUUCACUGAAACUAAAGCACACUCUAUGCUAAAACUAUGGGAGAGGUGGAGCACUUUGACAUUGAACUUGUUUCUUCAUUGCUUCCCUUGGAAGACAAAGGCUGCACCAGCCUUUUAAGAAAGGUGUGUGAGUCUUAUACAUGAAGAUGCUUCAAAUAGAUAGAGGAUAAGCCAUUUGAACUGUUUUAUGAGAUGUGCUCUUUCUGUUUGAAUUGGUGAGAAACUUGGUAUGUCUUUGAAAAAUUGUUUGCAGUGGUAAAACCUGUGCCUGCAAUGCUUUGACUGUUGGACUACAUGAAACCCCACUGAAAUCUGUGGGAGUCACAAGCUUCCAGGAAAAGUCAAGUCCCUUCCUGUCUCUGUUAAGUUAUAAGACAUUUCACAAUCCCAUCCUAGGGAAUAGUCUUUCUUCUAUUUAUAAUGAAGUUGAUUCUCACAUCCAAAAAGAUUUCUGCCAAGAUGGUUCUUUUUUACCUAAUUGUUUCUAUGCUACAAGUCCAGCACUGAAAUUAAAACUCAGCACAAAAAGAAGGAUCACUAUCAUUAUAGGUUUUUUCCAUGUCUUCUCUAAGGUACAGCUGAGCUCUGUUUUUUCUCAAAGCAUGUGGAAUUCCAGACUUUAUGCCACUUUUAAAGUAAGAAUAAUAUAGAUUUCUGAUUUGUUUUCCAUCACUCCCAGGGUCAUUAUUUUCCCAGCAGUAGAUACUUAGAAGAGUACACUGUUCAUCUGAGAAGUGGCAGCACUAGUGUUUGAACAAACUUAUUUUGGUGACUGCCUGGAUUUUCUUUGCUUCCUUGCCUUCACUUGUGUUAUUGCAGCCUUGUUGUAGCAACACAGCAGCAAUCGCACAAAUCCGCAUAACUAUAGGUAGUAUUAAACCUCACCUCUGACAUUCACUUCUGUAAUUAUCUUCAAAAGGGCUCUGAGCUUUAGUACCAGGCUCAGAAGAAUCUUUUGUGGAGAUGUAAAGGUAUAACUGUUUCUCAUUUCAUUAAGUUCCAUUCAUCUAUUUUUAUUGCUGCAUUUGAAUUAAUUUACAGAAGGAUAAAUAAGGGCACUUUAUAAAAAUGUACUGUAAUAUUAUUCUGUUAUGAGCCUGAAGACUGUCCUUGAUUUUAUUACUGUGACUUUUAAGGCCACAAUUAUGAUAUUUUUCAUAUUAGCUAUUGUGAUAGGUGUAGAGUCCAUUGGGACAGUUAACCUCGGCUAUAAUUCACCAUGUACCACUAUAGAGAAGCUUCUGUUCCCAGCAGAAAGCAUUCUUCUCUCCAGUAAUACUGAUGACUUUGAAGGAAAAAUAUUUACCCCAUUUCCUUUGUCUAAAUAGUGAUAUAUAGAGUGUAGUUUCAAGUACUAAAAAAAAAAAAAAAAAGUAAUUACGAUUCUGAAGUGUCAAAGAAGGCAGUCAAGCUGUAAAUGUAUUGUUCAGCUUCACCAUGUAAAUUUUUUUUAAAUGUUGUGUUCUUGCUCACAAUUUUCCUGAAAUAAUGUAUUUAGUGCACAUUCCUUCCAAAGUCGUCAGUCUUUCCUCCCACAUAGGCACGAAGGUUGUAUCUCUCCAUGGUCCUCAGACAAAGCACAGACUCUGCAGUUCUGCACACUUAAGGCAGGAUUCUGGGUAAAGUCCCCAGGAACAGUGCCUGAGGACUGUACAACAGAAGCCUCCUUCAUUUUUAAUUCCUGAUCAUGUUUUAUGUUAAAUUGAAAUCUGCUGCUAUGAAUGAGUCAAAUCGCUGCUGAUGCCCAGGUGCUGGUAAUUCUUUUACUUCUUUUAUGAGUGGGCUCCCUGGCACAAGGCUCUGAGGAACUGUCCCUCACAUGUGCCCACAAUCUUAGAGACAUUUUCCCCUGCUCAGGGGAAACCCAGUGACUCCCCACUACCGGGUUGGUGUAAGUCCUGUCACAGAUAAAGUGGUUGUGCAGUUGCAACUACAAGUCUUAUGAAAAAGCCAGGUUCCAUAUAUUGAAAAAACCUAGAGCAUAUGACUGAGCCACUGAGUAGGUCUCUACUGGUCCAGGAUGGAAAUAACUGACAGACUAAUGCAAGACUGGGGAGACAAGAAGACUUGUGAGAUUUAUCACUUCACCCAACCUUUGACCCCCUUUCAUUUCUAACUACAUUCUGCUGCAGGGCCAUUGCUGAUCGAUGCUAGAGCAUCCAAUCCUUCUAGUUUGAUUUUUCAACAUUCAGGACUCCUGCAACUGUUUUUAAUGAUGCUCUGUGGCAUACAUCAUUGCAUGUAGGGAAACUGGCAUAGGCAGCAUCACACAACCUGGAUUGUCUUGUACCUGUAUAUUGCUUUGUACAUAAAUAAUAUAGUUUGCAGGGAUUUUUGUAUCAUUCUUUUCCAUUUGUUUUCUACAUUUUUUUUGGAGACUGUAUGCAAACUGUGCUUGCAUAUUGAUUUUGUAGUUAGUAUUGUAGAUCAUAGCAUUUCCAUUUUGAUGGUUUCUUUGGAUUUGUGAGUUCCUGUGCACUACAGGUUGUCCUUCUUUCUUAAAGACAAUUGCAUACACUUCCAUCCAACACAUCCUGCUCCUUUCUUAAAUAUAUCAUAUUUCCUAUGAUCUGGUAUGAACUCUUGCUUGUAGAAUGCAUCAGAAAAAGCUGAAUAUGUAUUUAUAGUGUUAAAUAUUGUAUGAUCAACACUGAUUUAGUUAAGAAUAAUACAGGUUUUAGGGUUUGUACUUGUUCUCUGGAAACUACAGUGUAGACUGACUUAAAUUACCUAGUAUCUGUAAUUUACAGACACACAAAUAUUUUCUUAUAAUAUUUUCUAUGUGAUUAUAUAAGGUAGGGACAUAACUCUUUAAAGGUGACCAAUACCUUAGAACAAAACCAGUUUUCUUAUGACAUUUAGGAUCAAUUAAAUAUUUCUGUGUUACGUUUAGUGACAAUUUAUAGACAAAGCACAAAAUGCAAGAAGCAAAUAGGAAUUUCAAGAUGUCCUUAAAUGCUGCAGUUCAUUAUGGAACAAUGUUAUAUUAACCUAAUCUGAGCAAUCUUCUAGGUUGACUGUCUUGGGCAAUCGUCCCUCAUUGUUAUAAUUUUUCCUGAUGUUACCUUUGCCAAAUCCUGCAGUUCUUUCUUAGGCCCUGAUAAUGUAUGUUUGUUUGACUCAAAAUGCAGUUUUAGAAAAACUGGAGGAGGCAAAAAAUGUGUUAUCAGGUAUCCCGUCCAUCUUGCUACAAUACAAUGUGUGUGAGUUUAGCCUGUGGAAAGAAUUUAUGAUCUCACCACCUACUUUUGCCUUCUUGAAAAAGGACCAACAAACACACCAUGGGACCAAUGGAAUUGGGUAGCAUCCAUACAAAUACCUCCUGCUUUCUUAUGUAUUUUAAAGAGAAUAACCACUAUAUUUUUCGACCCAGAUGACAGUUACUUCUCAUUUUGGUCAUCUCUUCCCAUUAGGCAAAUACCUGUUGGCAUUAAGGCCAUGGCUAUAGUAAUUUCUACUUAAUAAAUAAGGAACUGUUUUUAGAGGAAUAAAAAUAAAUUAAUAUAAAUAUUCAUAACAAUUCUAGAACAAAAAUCUUCUAUGGCCUACUAGCUCUUUGACUGUGAUUCAAAACAAAGAAAACAUUGAAUAGCAAGGACUGCUGUCUCAGUGUGACUGAUACUGGGUAUCUCUUUAACAAUUAAAAAAAUCUACGGGGCCAUGUUAUUCUGCUGAGGUUUUGGAGCCUAAGUUUAUAGUAGAUAUAUAUAUGUAGGAAGUGUGUUGAUAUACCCUUGUAUUUUAAUCUUUAUUGUAUUUUAAAUCAGAUGUAACAGGUAUUAUCUUAAUAGGAAUCACAGGUAGAAUAGUGCUGAGUUACUAAUAGCUGGAAAACCCUAUUGAUACCAGUUUUGACAUUUUGUUGAAGCAUGAUGUCCAGUGCCUCUCUGCACUUAGUGUAGAUAAUGUAGCUAUCAACAUGUAAUUUCAGUGAAAUGGUGUAUACAGUAUGUGUAGCAGUGCAUUAAUUUAAUUUAAUUGGUUUCUAUGUGUUGAGCCAUAGUAGAAAGUUAGACUGUGUUUCGAAAUUUUGUUCUACUUUCUGUUUUUCAUUUGUAUCUGGGUUUGUUUCUUUUUGGUCAUUCAACUGAUUAGGUUCUAUAGCUUAGUAACGACUUUGUCUGUCUGUUGUGGAGUACCCAGUUCUGAUAACAUUCAGAAUCGUGUAUGCAGACAGCUUAUUGUAAAUAUGUUCAUUUUAGUUUUCAGCUAUCUAACCAGUAUGGUGUGUGUUAGAAGCUGCAUGUGUGUAGUUCUCUGGCAGUGAGUGAAAGUGAUCCCAGCAUAGAUUUCCUGCCUUGUGAAUGCACUUGUUAUUACACGUUAAUGAAUUAAUGUUCACAUAGAAUGAUAAGUUUUGUUUUCUUCUUGUUUGCUUGAAAUGUUUGAACUCUUUAUCACCAGAAGUUUAGUAAGUCACCGUUUAAAUUGGCACAGUGAAAAAGGGGAAAUCCAUCUAACUGCAUUCCUGUUGGAUGCCCUGGCUGCUUUUGACUCUGUGCAACGUUCAGCCCUUAGUCACAUCACGGCAUCAUAGGAUCCCUCUGAGUCAUUUCCAGUUUCUCCUUGACCACAGAUGCCAGGAAAGCAGUGCAGUCCCACGGCUGUGACUGGGCAAGUCUGCAGGCAGCAAGGGGCUGCCAGUUCUCUUCAGAGUGCCUGAGAAGUCCAAGUAGGAACCUCUAAUUCAUCCCUUUAGUAGGAACAGUCUCUGAGAAAGAUGAAUACACUCAUGGACAAAGGGGCACUGUUUCUUUCACUGUUAAAAAGGGAUAUUAACACUUAUUGGAAAAUAAAUGCAAAACUAACAGCUUCUCAGACUACUGUUGUUGUUGUAUAGGCCUGUUAUUUACAGAACUACUAUGUCUGAUCAUAAAACAGACAUAUGAACUACAAAGUCAGUGGCAAAAAAAUCUUCUGAAAUCAGGGCUGCAGUUCAGAUCUAUGAGAAAAUAAGGCUGUGUAGAAAGAAGCAGCUGAUUCAUUCCUAGUACCCUGGACCUGGAUCUCAGAAAUGUAAUCAUCCCCUGUAAGCAGAAAGAAAUAAAAAUCAGGCCCCAAAGCACAGAGUCUAUCUUGUUUGGUGAGUCCCAUUAUGAUGCUUCAGGAUGAAUUGCAUGCUGGAGUACUGAGUGCUGCCUAUUCAUCAUCCCUUGCCCCUUCUUUAAGGUGACCAGGCAUGAACUGGAAUGUUUUGCGACCUUUCACGUAAAAAGGAUUAAAAGGAAGAGGGAUAAGGUUGGUCUUUUCUUUACACUCAAAAAUUUCUGCAGAUUUUGAAAUUACAUACUGUACAGAAUCUAUAGCACAGUUUGUUUAAAAAUUAAUGAAUGCAGAUGAUUAAAUUUCUCCCAACUCUGGGCUCUGUUCUUGUAUAUUGUAGUUGGAAUGCCUUGUAGACUGAUUCUAUUUUUGUAGUUCAGAUCCUUUCCUCUUUACAAGGAUUGUUAGUCAUUUGCUUUUAAUGCUUUCUUACAGUGUGAACUGAUUUCUGUAACUUUCAUAUAUAAAACAAACUAGACAUUCUUUCUAUACUGGAAAUAUAGUCAUGAAUAUAAUAUUUCACUAAGUGUUGUAUCUCUUAUGUACAUACAUCAAUAAAUGUUGAUUCAUAAUUUUCA